AAAAAAAAACCUAAAAUAUGCCAAAAUUUAUAGGAUGCAGCAAAAGCACUAUUAAGAUGGAAGUUUGUAGGGAUGAAAACCUACAUUUAAAAAGAAGAAAUAUUUUAAAUAACCUGUCUAAUAAAAAAAAUUCUAAAAUGGACAUGAAACCACAAAAUUUCUUGAAUAGCCAACAUAAAGGUACCACCUCACACCUAAGAUGGACAUU
rnacentral:lncRNA from 1 species